UUUUCUGUAUAAUUUUAGCACAUACGUAACUUAUUUAAUUUUAAUUGCAGAAAAUAUGGAAAAAUAUAUCCGUGAAUUACAGUGCUAAUAAUAUGCAGAAUGCAGAAAUUAAUUGUGCAGGGAUUAAAUUAAUUGCAUCAGUAUAAUCUUUUUUCCGUGUAUUAAAUAUAAUUAAAAUAAUAUUCGCAUAGGAAACUUAAUAAUCAAUGUGCGACAAAUUAAAUUAUUCAUCUCUCGAAAUUAUUCUGUGAAAAAGAGAUAUUUGAAUUGCAAGAUAAAAUUAUUUAGUAGAAAAUAAUUUUGUAUAAAAAAUUUAUCGAGCUUAAAAAAUUUUAUUACAUUUCAAGGAAAAAUGUGACCAAGCAAUGUUUUAAAUUGCAUCUUUAUCCCGCGUAAAUACGUUAGAGCCAUUCAUUGGUCAAAAAAGUAAAUUCAAAAUUCUCGAGUUCUGAUUGGAGUAAACCGAUUGUAUCUAGUUUCGCUUUGCUGCUUUCUUCUAUAUCGGGUAUCGCAACGUCUACGUCGCGUAAGGUGUAAGAAUUAAUUUAUAAUUACGUAUUAUAACAAUAAUCUGGGUAAUAUUACUUUGUAAAGAGUGAAAAGUUUCACUCGCGAUCAAAUAAUGCACGAACACACAUAUAAAUAUAUAAAUUAAAGCAUAUAUAAAAUCACUUGCAAGAUAAUCGGUCGGAAGGUUGGAAUCUAUUUCUUCGAAAAGCUACGCGUAAAUGUUUUUCAUCGGUCCGUUCGAUAUAGUUAGUGGACAAUUUUCGGUGUCGUCGUGGUUCCGUAAGCUCGCCGACAGCGAUAAAAGGGACAUCAUUACCCGGCCAUUCCGCUUGUUUGCGAGAUUCAGCUUAAGAAAUUUAGGAGGAAAUUAGGAGGCGAGGACGCUUAUACACAAUAUCUCGUGGACUUUGAGAAAAAGAAUGAAUCGUGUCCUUGACUUCUAUGCGACGAAUUAAAGGAUUCUGGUGUAAAGAGCAACUACGCCGGGAGCUACGUCUAGGGAGAGGCGUCGCUACGUGUCUGCUCCGAACAAGUCGAACAUGAAUGCCGGACGGAUUGUAAUUUCGUAUUUUUAUCGAGUUUUUUCUUUGCCGUGACAAGGUUCGCGUCGGUUAACAUCGGUAGUGCCGUUCAAAAUGUCGCGUGGUCGUCGUAUUUUCGCGAGUGUGACAAGGAAGGAGCAUCCAUUGAUGGGCUAUUGGAAGAAGAGGAAACUCAGGUUUUGACAAAGCAGCUUUAAGAGACGAAAAGAAAAACGACGAGAGAAACUGAGCGAAUUCAGGCUCAUAACGAACGAUUAGAGCGAUGUGAGUGCAGAGUCCCCGGAAGGGGAGGGAAGACAAAAAGGACACGGAGGGACAGAGCGAAAGGAUGGUCACUAGAUAAUUUCAUGUCGACGGACGUACUGCAUAUGCAAGUGCCACUGCAGUCACGACACAGCGACUGGCGUUGUCAUACGAGUACAAAUAACGUUGACAUUCGUGCACACAAAUAUGCUUACAUCGUGUGCAUUUUCGUACAGCUGGAAGUGCAAACAUGCAAGAUGCAAAGUAACGGUAUCAUAUUGCCAUCUCGAGAGGACCACACAAACCUGCAUGGAAUUCAUAGUUGGAAUGGCAAUGUGGGUGAAGUUGCGUCGAGACAAAAUGACGUGAGCGUCAUUAAUGCUGAUGACAAGAGACAAUCCCACGUAAUAAAACUCGAUCGUUUAAGCCCGGCGAAAUGAAUCAUCGGGAAUCGCGCUGCUAAUGCGAUCAAGCUCAAUAUUUACUUGACGUGCUUUGUCGCAGCGUAGGUUCUCUUUAUCAAGAGCGUAAUGGUGUCAUGUCGCUUGAGAGAAAAAUUACACGAGGCCUUUUCACAGAUAUGUAUACGUGUCAUAGAAUAUUUAUUACAUUAUGCACGAACAAAAUCACUCCACCGUUAGAUCAUCGAAGAUACCGCAAGUGAGAGGAACCUACUCUAUCUACCAGUGGUUUAAACGAGCCAUUACGUCCGUAAAAGGAAAAAUAGUUCUAUGAUAAGAUGUAUUUUGAAAAAUUUGAUCGUAGCACUUGUUAUUUAUUGUGAAUUUUGUAUUCAGCGUUUCAUAAUGAGCUUUUCACUCGUUCACUUUAUUUAUAGGCGAAGCUCGCGCAUAGCACGCCAUCGGACGUCGCGUCGUCGUAACUAUUGACCUUUAUCACUGCGGCGACUUCACCCUGGCAGCUCAGCUGAGCUCGGCGGAGCUUAAAGCACAUCGAAGAUGGCGACCGGAGGGUAGAGUCGAGCCGGAGACGUGCAGCACAAAGACAACCUCUUCCCCGGUGGAGACGGCCGUGUAUAUUGGAGCGAGCUGUCCGCGUGAGCCGAGUUCGAUGGUGGCGGGUUUCUCCGGUUUUCCGCUAAUUCAGGAUUUCGAUCGGGUACGCAGCGGUUUAAACACACUAACACACCGUUCUCUCGUUUCUUCGUUCGCCAUCUAAAGUAGCAAUUAACGCUCGCGUUAAUGCUUCUUCCCCGUCAAUGUCUAGUCAGAUGGAUGCGAGAAAUAAGAAAAGAAGAUGCGAUUUGGUGAAAAAGAGAAACCGUGACGCUCCGAUCGAGAUGAGGGUCGACGCAUGCGGGAAGUCGAAAUCAAACCAAAGUGUGUAAAAUAUAGUAUCAAGAUAACCGGGUUGAUUCACAGGGAUCCCGACGAUCAUCUUCCUCGCAAGACGCCGUGCGCUGAUAUCGUACCAAAGAAAAUCGAUCCUACAUUAAGUUCCUCUUUUCUACUCCGACAAAAUCGAAAUGUCGAUGAACGAAAUGCAAUCAUUAGAAAUCAAGUUUUAGACAAUCCAUCGUGAAAACUUUUAUUAAUUCAAUUAAUUAGGUAAGAUAGAUGAGAAUCGAAAGACUUAACCGACGUGUCAUCCAAGUGCCAUCGCAGUAAUAGAGAUUGAAAAUGCGAGAAACUAGAGUAAAAAAGCGUGAAACGAAUUAGCUAAUAAGCAACUGGUGCAGAAUCGCCUUCGAAAAGCGAUUGAAGGUACUGCGAAACUGUAGACUAUCGAUCGGGCGAGGGAUCUCGACGGCGACUCGAAAAUUGCGACGUCGAGUUUACCGGUAACAUCGAUGCGGUGCUGGUUGGUGGAGUCAGCAUUUCCAAUUUAGCGACUCUAGGGAGCGACGUGCGCGAGAGGAAUUUUUCUCGAUGAAACUUUCGUAAUUUAUUGUUAAUCUCCAUGUUUAUUGUAAUCUUCGUGUUGAUUGCGGACAAUCGGUGCGAGAGAAAAGGACCGUGCCGUUGAUUUCUGCGACUGUCUUGCUGAGAGAUUGAAAUCGCUGGCACGAUCAGUGAUAAAGUUUUCAAAGAAUUUUUCCGAUUUUUAACGUGCUGACUUUCUUCUUGAUGCGUUGAGCGAUUUUUAAUAGUGCACAAAAUAAAAACGACGCGCUUUUUUUAGAAGAAAUUUUAAUAAUCGAUUAAUGAAACGAAAUUUUUGGAGAAAUUUUGAAGUCGGUGACUUAUGCAUAGAAAAGGGUAACUUUUAAAGAAACAUAUUUCGAAGAGACUCGAACGCUGCUUAUACUUUAAAAUCGAUCAGGAUCAGAGGUCGCGGACAUUUCGAAUGCGCGAUCGUAUCCGGGAGUCCCCGAAAUAAAUUAACGCCGAAUUAAAGUAGACGACGGCAAACGUGCGAUUGGACAAACGACAGGAGGGGAAAAGAAAAGAAGGUGAAAGAUCGCAGACGAAAGGAAGGAAAGAUAGGUGAACGGUCGCGUAACGGGAGGCCGAGGAUUUGUCUGGAAAAAUGCGGGAAGGGUGACGCGCGGCGUGCGGGGAUUGGGGGCUGUUCAACGAUCGGGGGAGGAAAGAGAGAAGGAGAGGAACCCUGAGGCCGCAGUCUGAACGGGGUGCGCGCAUC
rnacentral:lncRNA from 1 species